CUGUAUGUAACACAGGGAAUCCUAAUCACUCCCACAGAAGCUGCACGGGAGUGGCAUGGAGGUGAAGGGGCUGUCACUCCUCUGACGUUGGCCUGGGGAGGUCCCACUGAAUUGUGACACUGGGUAUUCUUGAAUUCCAAAAAUCCCAAUCCGAGGAAUUAUCCCUGAUCUUUCGUGUUCUAAGACAUUUUACCAUAUGUCCAAAGGCAGCCAGAAGUUUGAAAUUAAUCUUGAUCCACAUCCAUCGAAGUAGUAGGGCCAUGUCUCCUGACAUUAUGAAACCCGUGCUGAUGUUCUGGGCAGAACAUCUAUAUCUGGCAUGGUUGGCAAGAGUCCAGUGUCCUUUCUCCAUCUUCUGUAUCAGGAAGUGUCUGGAAGAAGGAGCUAUUCUUUGCUCAUGUUAGCAGGUAUUGGGUGAGUUCUCAUCUUAGGACUCUACAUGGCACUAGCAGCUGGUGCUGAGAGCAGCUAGCAUUUCACCUACUCUCUCUUCCUUGCCCAUAGGAUGGAGGAGGAAACACUUUCCAUCAGUGCAUGCAGGUAGCAGCUAAGCACCCAUCUUGAAACUGAGCUGGAAUCGGCAGACACCAGCUGAGAGUGGCUGGCUUUUCUCCACCUCCUUCCCCAAUGGGGAAAGGGAAAUGAGCAGCGAAACCAUCUGAGUACAAUCCCAUGAUGAAAUAUAUCACCCUUUGGACCACUUGUCAAGCAUACUGUUGCAAUCUCUUCCCCACAACACCUGGGGAAAUGUGCUCCAGCCUGACCCUGAUCCAUGCCCAAGUGGGACCUUUUUCAGCUGCAUAACCUCUUCCUUUAGAGGGCAGGCUGAAGCAAUUCCCUGGCAGACAGAAGAACCAAUUUAAGGGAGAUCACUCCCACUAAAGAGGUCCUUUCUGGUGUGAUCAGGCAUGCACCUUUGCAGCCAUCUGAUUUCACGCUCAGAUAACAUUUCUAGGUGCCAGCUGAGUCCUGGAU
rnacentral:lncRNA from 1 species